GGAGGCGGGUGCUUCAGGCCUGGACUUCUGAGAAGCAGGGAGCGGGAGGUUGGGAGUUCAUGUUUGAAGGAGACUUUGAAUAAUGAGUUUGGGCUGGAUUCUGUGUGAGCAGGGUGAGAACCACCAGGUGGCCAACACUGGCUCCGGGCACCGCGGGUACCUCAGGUUCCCCACCCGGGAGAUGGAAACACAGCCUCACUUAAAGGGUCUCAGGGGCUCCUACCAGACUGCACACACAGACAAGCUCAGAAGGCAAGGGGACCUCACCUGUUCACUUCAUACCUUGUCAACUUUCGUUUAAACAUUAUGUAAUUAUCGUAAUUCACAGGGAAUUCUGUUCCUCCCUGCUUCCUCCACUUCUUGGGGCAGAGAAAGGUAAUUUGAAAGGCGUUUGUGUCCGUGAUUCCCAGAGGAAAGGAAAGCUUGACUCACGGUGGGUGCUACCAGGCCUGCAGGCUGCCCAAGGCUCCCAGACCCUACAAACCCCACAGAUCCGUCCGGGCCUCCACAGCAUCAUGGCGUGGGUCUGCAAACAGCUCUGGGAACUCCAGGGUGCACGCUGAUCUUCUCCUCGAUGAAAGGUUGAAAAACAAAAUCUUAAUCACAUUGUGCUGAAUGUACUGAACACCUAGGCCUGCGGUUAGAGGAAGAAAUCAACUUGGAACAGUGGUGCCAUGUGGAAUCCUGCUAGCAGGGAGGAAAACACCCUGCCGUCUAAAUAGAUCAUCAGCCAGAACUAGUCAUACGGCCCCACCCGACUCCAAAAGGGCGAGGAAGUACGAUUCUACCAUAUGCCUGGAAAGCAGAGGGAGAAACGUCUGGUGAACAGCACUCCUGGCCGGCACAAUUACAGAACCUUUGAAAUCUUGCCAUGAAAAGUGUGGUCCACUGGCCAGCAGCCUGAUGUCCCCUAGGAGACGGUCAGAAAUGCAGAAUUUCUGGGCCCACCCCAGACCUACUGUGAUGGUUAAUUUUAUGUGUCGACUUGAGGGGGCCACGGGAUGCCCAGAUACCGGGUUCAGCAUGAUUUCUGGAUGUGACUGUGAGGAUGCUUCCGGAAGAGAUUCACAUUUGAAUUGGUAACUGGGUAAAGCAGAUGGCCCUCCCCGGUGUGGGUGGGCCUCACCCAAUCUGCUGAG
rnacentral:lncRNA from 1 species